rnacentral:rRNA from 1 species
AUUGAACGCUGGCGGCAGGCUUAACACAUGCAAGUCGAACGAGUGGCGGACGGGUGAGUAAUGCUUGGGAAUCUAGCUUAUGGAGGGGGAUAACUACGGGAAACUGUAGCUAAUACCGCGUACCAUAGGAUGAGCCCAAGUGGGCUUAGGUAGUUGGGGAGGUAAAGGCGCACCAAGCCGACGAUCUAUAGCUGGUCUGAGAGGAUGACCAGCCACCCUGGGACUGAGACACGGCCCAGACUCCUACGGGACGCAGCAGUGUGUAAUAUUGCGCAAUGGGGGGAACCCGACGCAGCCAUGCCGCCUGAAUGAAGAAGGCCUUCGGGUUGUAAAGUUCUUUCGGUAGCGAGGCGUUAAGUACAGAAGAAGCACCGGCUAACUCCGUGCCAGCAGCCGCGGUAGUUC